UUCGGGUUGUAAACCUCUUUCAGCACAGACGAAGCGUGAGUGACGGUAUGUGCAGAAGAAGCACCGGCCAACUACGUGCCAGCAGCCGCGGUAAUACGUAGGGUGCGAGCGUUGUCCGGAAUUACUGGGCGUAAAGAGCUCGUAGGUGGUUUGUCGCGUUGUUCGUGAAAACUCACAGCUUAACUGUGGGCGUGCGGGCGAUACGGGCAGACUGGAGUACUGCAGGGGAGACUGGAAUUCCUGGUGUAGCGGUGGAAUGCGCAGAUAUCAGGAGGAACACCGGUGGCGAAGGCGGGUCUCUGGGCAGUAACUGACGCUGAGGAGCGAAAGCGUGGGGAGCGAACAGGAUUAGAUACCCUGGUAGUCCACGCCGUAAACGGUGGGUACUAGGUGUGGGUUUCCUUCCUUGGGAUCCGUGCCGUAGCUAACGCAUUAAGUACCCCGGCCUGGGGAGUACGGCCGCAAGGCUAAAACUCAAAGGAAUUGACGGGGGCCCGCACAAGCGGCGGAGCAUGUGGAUUAAUUCGAUGCAACGCGAAGAACCUUACCUGGGUUUGACAUGCACAGGACGCUGGUAGAGAUAUCAGUUC
rnacentral:rRNA from 1 species